CUGUGCUAACAUGGAUAUACUAACACUGGACCCAACUGGACUUUAUUAAAAAAACUGAAACAUGGACUCCACUCUGGACCCCACCGGUCAGUACUAACUUCUACCCCAUACUCGUCCAAAUCCUAUUAGAAUCUUAUAAAAAUGGAUACAAAAGUACUCGAUCCUACCGGGCAAUACUAAACGCGAAAAUGAUCGGUUUAGACCCCACGGAAAUAUACUAAACCCCAUCUCCGAUGAGACAAGAUGUGUUGCGGAAGACGCAGAAUAUACACUGGCACCAGUCCGCGGGAGACCUCGUCGUGUCGCAAGCGCAGGGUUCCGCCCCGGCCUGGCCACUGAACGAUAAACAACUCAUCGCCUGUAAAUACUAUGAAUAAAAUGAAGGGAGGACGUGUACGCAAGGUCAUUGGAUGGAAAUCAGCUGACUCGCGCGCCGCGUGCAAUCCGGAAAUGUACACCCAUAGAAACAACAUCCACCUUAUGGAGAGAAAAACAUUUUGCAACAAGCUGGUUCACUUUGGACAACACUACAUUUCAAUCUAAAUGUAAACGCGACCAUCGGCCUUCAGUCUCACAUCAUCACUAAUCAUCAUCUUCAUCUCCACCAUCACCAAA